rnacentral:rRNA from 1 species
CAAGUCAAGGGGGCCCAGCAAUGGGCAACCGGCGAACGGGUGCGUAACACGUGAGCAACCUACCCAGGUGUGGGGGAUAGCCGUCCCAACGGACGGGUAAUACCGCAUACGCUCUUCUUUAGGCAUUUAGAGAAGAGGAAACCUUCGGGGCACCAUGAGGGGCUCGCGGCCUAUCAGCUAGUUGGCGAGGUAAUGGCUCACCAAGGCGACGACGGGUAGCUGGUCUGAGAGGAUGGCCAGCCACAUUGGGACUGAGAAACGGCCCAGACUCCUACGGGAGGCAGCAGUGGGGAAUCUUGCGCAAUGGCCUAACGGCUGACGCAGCGACGCCGCGUGAGGGAUGACGCUCUUCGGAGUGUAAACCUCUUUUGCCUGGAACGAAUUGCGAGCUUUUGCUCGUUUGACGGUACCGGGUGAAUAAGCACCGGCUAACUCCGUGCCAGCAGCCGCGGUAAUACGGGGGGUGCGAGCGUUGUCCGGAAUCACUGGGCGUAAAGGGCGCGUAGGUGGCGUGAUAAGGGUGUGGUGAAAGCCCGGGGCUCAACCCCGGGUCGGCCAUGCCGACUGUCAGGCUUGAGUACUGUAGGGGCAGGCGGAAUUCCGGGUGUAGCGGUGGAAUGCGUAGAGAUCCGGAGGAAGACCGGUGGCGAAGGCGGCCUGCUGGGCAGUUACUGACACUGAGGCGCGACAGCGUGGGGAGCAAACAGGAUUAGAUACCCUGGUAGUCCACGCCGUAAACGAUGGGUACUAGGUGCCUGGGGGAGCGACCCCUUGGGUGCCGGCGCUAACGCAGGAAGUACCCCGCCUGGGGAGUACGGCCGCAAGGCUGAAACUCAAAGGAAUUGACGGGGGCCCGCACAAGCGGUGGAGCAUGUGGUUUAAUUCGACGCA